GGCCAGGUGGGUGAGUGUUUAGCCAGGAGCCCCGCAAGGCUUCGCACGUUCGGUUCAAAUCCGAACCCCGGCCUCCA
rnacentral:tRNA from 1 species